rnacentral:rRNA from 1 species
UGGUGGAGUGAUUUGUCUGGUUAAUUCCGUUAACGAACGAGACCUCGACCUGCUAAAUAGUCGAGCGAAUACAAUUUUUGUAUUCGUGUUCCCUUUCUCGGCUUCUUAGAGGGACUGUUUGUGUCGAGCAAAAGUAAGAUCGAGGCAAUAACA